UUUCCCAUUUGACUACCACAUUUUCUCCUAAAAAUAGACUUUAGUGGCUAUGCUUAUAGAAUACAUUAAAGUUGCCAUGAUCUGAAAGGGAAGGGUUCUGAAGUGUCCUCCUUCUAUAUGAAAUGGCUGAGCAGAAGAAG